rnacentral:rRNA from 1 species
GUGUCAGCCGCCGCGGUAAUACAGAGGGUGCUAACGUUGUUCGGAAUCACUGGGCAUAAAGCGCACGUAGGCGGCCCGUCAAGUGCGGUGUGAAAUCCCACGGCUUACCCGUGGAAAUGCGCUGCAGACUGACGGGCUCGAGGACGGUAGGGGAGAGCGGAACUCCUGGUGGAGCGGUGAAAUGCGUAGAUAUCAGGAGGAACACCGGUGGCGAAGGCGGCUCUCUGGUCCGUUUCUGACGCUGAGGUGCGAAAGCCAGGGGAGCAAACGGGAUUAGAAACCCGAGUAGUCC